rnacentral:rRNA from 1 species
GAUUAACGCUGGCGGCGUGCAUAACACAUGCAAGUCGAACGAUGAAACUUUAAUGAACCCUUCGGGGAGAAUUAAAGCGGAUUAGUGGCGAACGGGUGAGUAACGCGUGAGUAACCUGCCUUACACAAGGGGAUAGCCUUUGGAAACGAAGAAUAAUACCCUAUAAAACCAUAAAAGCACAUGCAAUUAUGGUCAAAGUGAUAGCGGUGUAAGAUGGACUUGCGUCUGAUUAGCUAGUUGGUGAGAUAAAAGCCCACCAAGGCAACGAUCAGUAGCCGGCUUGAGAGAGUGUACGGCCACAUUGGGACUGAGACACGGCCCAGACUCCUACGGGAGGCAGCAGUGGGGAAUUUUGCACAAUGGGGGAAACCCUGAUGCAGCGACGCCGCGUGAUUUAGAAGGCCUUCGGGUUGUGAAAAUCUUUUGUAUAGGAAGAAAAUGACAGUACUAUACGAAUAAGGUCCGGCUAAUUACGUG